rnacentral:rRNA from 1 species
AUCUGGGCGGCGGAAUUCAGGACGGCUGGGGGGUUUUCCGCUCUUUCGGCCGUUUGAUAUUUCCGUCGCCGUGUCAGACGUCGCGACCUGUUUGUCGUCGGUCCUUGCUCGGAGGAAUUGCGAUCGAGUUCGUUGCGGGCGCGCUUCGGUGUGUCCCGCGGCGAAGACGCGACUCUCUGGCUGACGACGGACAGUAAGCAACGGUGGCCGGCGCCGUGUCUCGCACUCGGCGUCGGUACCGGUCAGCGACGAUUUCUUCGGGCCUCUUUCCGACCCGUCUUGAAACACGGACCAAGGAGUCUAACAUGCGCGCGAGUCGCGGGGUUUCGAGCGUGCCACGGUGCGCUCGUUACUUCCGAAACCCGUACGUUGAAGGCGUAAUGAAAGUGAACAGGGAAGAUGGCGUUCCGAGUCCACGUACCGUGAUCGAGUAUCGCGGCCGGACGCCCGCACUCCCGGGGCGUCUCAAUGGCUCGCCACGGAUGCGGACGAUCGUCUUUCGGGGCGGUCGUCGGUCUGUGGCGGUCCGA